UAUUAAAAUGUCAUCUAUUUGUACUAUUAAAAUCAGUGUGUUUGACGGAAUAACUAAAUAGCACAUGUGGUGUGUCACGUGUAUAUCAUGCUGACGUACAAAAAUUAGUUUUUAAUAUAAUAAAUGGAUGAAAUUUUUAACA
rfam:Gossypium arboreum cultivar AKA8401 contig_3245_1, whole genome shotgun sequence.